rnacentral:rRNA from 1 species
GACGAACGCUGGCGGCGUGCCUAAUACAUGCAAGUUGAGCGCUGAAGGUUGGUACUUGUACCAACUGGAUGAGCAGCGAACGGGUGAGUACCGCGUGGGGAAUCUGCCUUUGAGCGGGGGACAACAUUUGGAAACGAAUGCUAAUACCGCAUAAAAACUUUAAACACAAGUUUUAAGUUUGAAAGAUGCAAUUGCAUCACUCAAAGAUGAUCCCGCGUUGCAUUAGCUAGUUGGUGAGGUAAAGGCUCACCAAGGCGAUGAUACAUAGCCGACCUGAGAGGGUGAUCGGCCACAUUGGGACUGAGACACGGCCCAAACUCCUACGGGAGGCAGCAGUAGGGAAUCUUCGGCAAUGGACGAAAGUCUGACCGAGCAACGCCGCGUGAGUGAAGAAGGUUUUCGGAUCGUAAAACUCUGUUGGUAGAGAAGAACGUUGGUGAGAGUGGAAAGCUCAUCAAGUGACGGUAACUACCCAGAAAGGGACGGCUAACUACGUG